rnacentral:rRNA from 1 species
UACGUAGGGUGCAAGCGUUGUCCGGAAUUAUUGGGCGUAAAGAGCUCGUAGGCGGCCUGUUGCGUCCGCUGUGAAAUCCCGGGGCUCAACCCCGGGCCUGCAGUGGAUACGGGCUGGCUAGAGGCAGGCAGGGGAGAACGGAAUUCCUGGUGUAGCGGUGAAAUGCGCAGAUAUCAGGAGGAACACCGGUGGCGAAGGCGGUUCUCUGGGCCUGUACUGACGCUGAGGAGCGAAAGCGUGGGGAGCGAACAGG